AGCGGCGGACGGGUGAGUAACACGUGAGUAACCUGCCUUAGACAUUGGGAUAGCCUCGGGAAACCGGGAUUAAUACCAAAUAAAAUCAUAAUGACACAUGUCAUAACGAUCAAAACUCCGGUGGUCUAAGAUGGACUCGCGUCCCAUUAGCUAGUUGGUAGAGUAAAAGCCUACCAAGGCGACGAUGGGUAGCCGGCCUGAGAGGGUGAACGGCCACAUUGGGACUGAGAUACGGCCCAG
rnacentral:rRNA from 1 species